ACCACAGGACUAUCAUCAAUUGCCUCAAC
rnacentral:sRNA from 1 species